rnacentral:lncRNA from 1 species
AAAGAAAGAAAAAAAGGAUUUGAAGCAGAAUUUCUCACUGGAUAGGCAACUGGGUUCCAGAAAGAGCAGAAUUGGAAGAGUGAAAUAUACAAAGAUCUCAAGUCCACUGAGCCUUUUUAUUGAGGUGUAUUCUAUUAUAUUUAAUUAUUAUUUGUCUUUUUUUGCGUCCAUUUUUUUAAACAGGGGUUGGGGUAGGAAAGGCAGUCUCAAUGUAAUGGUGACUAUAUAAGUGAAAGAGGAAAAACAAAGUUUUAUGUUUUUAAUGAAAUAAAGAAUUUAGACAUUUAUAAUUUUGAUGGUACUCCACAUUAGUGAUUACUCAAAAAUCUAUAUUUAUUUGCUUAUAAUAUCAUAUAGUUGACUUAACAUUAUUGAGUCUGGGUCUGAGUCGGCUAAAUCUGCCUCAAAUGAAUUCAUUUGUUUCUACAUUUUGGGGAUAUGUGUGUAUGGCAGAGUGUGUAUUAGACUGAGUUCAGCAGGUCAGGAAUUUGCUUUAGUCUUUACUGAGAAGACAUUAGUAAUUUUACAUUUUCCUAUGGAAAAAUUUUAUGUCAUACAAAAUUUCUCUAUACAAAUAUAUAUCUUAAAAUUUCACCAAAAUAAUUAUAAUACAUCAAAUAAAGCAUUAAUAUUUUGUGCAAUUCAGAAUAACUUACUCAGGACUUAAUUUGGAGAAUUUAGCAAUUUUCCAAAAAUUUAGUUUAAAAAGUUAUUUGUUCAAGUACAAAGUAAGUUACUAUUUAUUAUUGAGAAUAUGAACAUACACCAAGACAAAGAGGAUUUUGAUGUGGGAUAGUAAACGUGCAAAUUAUUUCAGGCUACAAUUACCUUCUUGUAAUGGGAGCAUAUAUAAAUUAUCUUGUUCUGCAGGGAAAUUAAAGACUUGCAGAUAAAAUACCUUCAGGUACGUUAAAACAGAUACACUUUUUACAGGUUUGUUUAUCAAGUAGAUACUUUCCAAAGUGAAAUACAUAAUUUGAUUUAUGAACACACAAAAACUGUAUUUCUUAGAAAAAGUAGAAUUAUGUAUUCCUGAUGUCUGCACAACAGCAGAAAGCUCAGCCCUGGUUGUGCUGGUAUUUAUACUCUUGCAUGAAAAAUAUGCACAAGGAGCAAAGAUAAGCAAUUUUCAUAAGAAAAUGUCAAUGCAACUCCUUGUUAGUAUUGAUUUUAAAAGACUGUGACAGUAUCUUGAUUUCAUAUCUCUUAGCACUAUAAAAAAUAAAAUCAAAUGGAGACUACAUCAUCUGUUGGAAGAGAAGUGGCAUGAGACCCGACAGAAGAAAUCUGCUAUCAACUAUUCCAUUGACCUAUUCCAGAAGCUGAAGUGAUAUUUAAUCCCUAUGACUUGAAGCACAUGUCCAAAAUAAGUAACAGACACAGAUGUUCACCAUCUUACCAGACUUUUCAUUCUAUAUCUCUUGUGAAGGGAAGGCAUCACAGUGUCUUUAAAUCCAUGCCAUCACAUGGAUCCACACUGAAAAGAAUCCACAAAGUAUUUAGUCACCUUUGAUUCUAUAAUAUAAUUUGUCUUGAGGUAGUGCUUGUAAAUGGAGCUAAGAAUUGACAUUUGUCUAUUUUAUAAGUACUUUUUCUGCUAGCUGUGAUGAUAAAUACAUCAUUAUCAGUAAUAUUUAUGAAGUGUCCUGUCAUACUAACAGAAAGUUGCACAUACUAAAAUAUAUGUCUGAAUAUUAAAAGACUAUAACUCCUGCUGACAGCCACUAAUGUGCAUUAAUCUUGACAAUGCUACGUUACCUGAACUCUGUGCUCUUGGAAAACAGCAAAGUUAAGAAAUUCCCCUAGACUGGUGUUCGAAGAAAAAUGGCUUACAUCAAUGAACCAUCCUUCCCAUAGGACUUUCAAAAAACUCCCGUUUACCUAUGACAAGGCUAGCCACAGACCAUCCAAAUUCCUAUCCUUUGCCUCAAAGUGAUUAGCUGAACUGUUUGUACUCACUGACCAAUGUGGACCCAAUACCUGCAAAUUUGACUUGACUAAAAUAGCUAAAGCUUUUUUCCUUUCCCCAGGCUCCUUUAAUAUUGACCAGCCCUCAGUCUGAGUCAGCAGUGGGAUAAAGAACUAUCUCCUCUUAAUAGUCCCUCCAGGCCGGGCGCGGUGGCUCACCCCUGUAAUCCCAGCACUUUGGGAGGCCGAGGCAGGUGGAUCACGAGGUGAGGAGUUCGAGACGAUCCUGGCUAACACAGUGAAACCCCGUCUCUACUAAAAGAUACAAAAAAAAUAAAAAAAUAUAAAAAUAUAAAAAAUUAGCUGGGCGUGGUGACGGGCGCCUGUAAUCGCAGCUAGUAGGAAGGCUGAGACAGGAGAAUAGCAUGAACCUGGGAGGUGGAGCUUGCAGUGAGCCGAGAUCAGGCCACUGCACUCCAGCCUGGACGACAGAGCAAGACGCCAUCUCAAAAAACAAACAAACAAACAAACAAAAAACAAGUCACUCACUCCAGAGAACAGGAUGGCCUCAGAAAACAUAUUUCCUGCUUAACAGUCCAAACACACCAUCAGCUCAUCCCAUUUUCUCAUAUCGGGUUCUUACUAGCUUUCUUUAUUCCUCCCUAGAAUAGAAAUUUUAUUUUGGUUGACCUUUGAAACUCUUAUAGAUCUUAUGGUCAGAAGACUCUCCCUACUGCAACAAUCUCCCUCUCUUAUUGCAGUGAUUCUUUUGAAUAAAGUCUUUCCCUACCUAAGUCCAGAUUGGUUUUUAUUUGAUAAUAUUUUUUUCUUAGAAUAUCCUAAUUGACAUUAUUUUGAAUUGAACAUAUAUUGAAGGUGAAAUUCUCAGAAUCAUUUUGUCAGUCUAGUUUCAUAUCAACGUUUAAUAAGAAUUUUUCUUUUGUUGUAUUUAUUUAAAGAUAUCGAAUUACUUAGAUAUUUGCAAUUAUGUAAUAAAUUUACCAUUUGUGAGAGCUUUAAAACAAAAAAUAUUUCUUUAUGUGAAAAAUUCCAUAAGAGGUUUUGAAUUUACCUAGUCAGAAUAAAUUUAUAUAGACACAAUUAUUACUAAAUAAUUCUAUCAUUUGGUGCUAUCUUCUAUGUAAUAGAAAAGCAAGAAUCAAAAGCAGAAUAAAUAAUAAUGAAUAUGUAGUUAUCAUUUUUCUUGACAUAUACAUGUAAUCUACCA